rnacentral:rRNA from 1 species
CCCUUAGAUGUUCUGGGCCGCACGCGCGCUACACUGAAGCUAUCAACACGUUUUCCCUCCCUGAGAAGGGCGGGUAACCUUUUGAAUCAGCUUCGUGGUAGGGAUCGGGGCUUGCAAUUGUUCCCCGUGAACCAGGAAUUCCUAGUAGACGCGAGUCAUAAGCUCGCAUCGAUUAAGUCCCUGCCCUUUGUACACACCGCCCGUCGCUACUACCGAUUGAACGUUUUAGUGAGGCAUUUGGACCGACGCAUCUCAGUUUAACCGCUGGUUUGUGUUGGAAAGACUUCCAAACUUGAGCGUUUAGAGGAAGUGAAAGUCGUAACA